GAUCAUGGCUCAGGAUGAACGCUGGCGGCGCGCCUAACACAUGCAAGUCGAACGGACGAUGAAGAGCUUGCCUUUCAAAGUUAGUGGCGGACGGGUGAGUAACGCGUGGGUAACCUGCCUCAUACAGGGGAAUAGCAGCUGGAAACGGCUGAUAAAACCGCAUAAGCGCACAGUGCCGCAUGGCACAGUGUGAAAAACUCCGGUGGUAUGAGAUGGACCCGCGU
rnacentral:rRNA from 1 species